GGAAACCACUGGAUUUAUUAAUGAGAAAAUGAAGGCUUGUGUUUAAGCCUCGUCUCUGAGCCCAUGGAACAGACUUACGGCGUAUGACCUCAUCGGAGACUUGUACAUGGGGCCAACCCCCAUUUUCCCACAGGAAACCCACACUCUAAUUAAGGGCUGACCCUGAACUUGAAUCUGAGUCUUCUCUUUCUUCAACAGAGAGCCAUCUCUCCAGCCCAGCUGGCAAGGAGACAGGUGAUGUUACAGGAAAAAAUACACAGCUUGUGCCCUUGGAAUUACCAGAGUUCAAAGCCUGUUCAGCAUCUACCCACCAUGUGACCCGGGUCGAAUUCUUCAGUUUCUCUAAGCCCAUUUUCUCAUCUGUAAGAUGGGGAAGUGUAAUCAGUUCUGAACCCACAUAUACCUCACUGGGCUUGAACAGGCCUGAGCAGGCAUGUGGGGCUUUACUAGCUAGCCAUCCUUUCUGCCGCUCUCCCUCAUUCUCCUUCAAGCCCCCCAAAGUCCUUGGUGGAGGAGGAAGUGGAGACAGAACGUUUGGUGUUGGGUGAGGUACGUGAGGAGGCUGAUUUCAGAACCUCCAGGAAACAAAGCUUUAGUGUUCCGAGGGCAGUGCCCGCCUGUGCCUCCUCCUCACAGGGGGUAGUAGGAGUGGGGUGGGGCCGAGGCAUUUCCCAGCACAGCUCAAUCACAUCUCCUGCGCCUGCCCUUGUGACCUGCUCACUGGAAAGGAAGAAAUGACCGAGGGAGAAGGGAGGGCAUUUGAGGGGAGAAGAAGAGGAUGGAGAAAAAAACUGGAUCAUCUCGUGACAUGGAAAGAAAGGUCUGAGCUCUGACGAUCCCCUCACGUGAUUAUAGGCAUGAGGACUCACUCUUCGAAUUGUUUGAAAAUUGAAUGGACUGGCUCACACCUUCUGAAAUUUCUUGGAAGCUCUGGAGUAACUAUUCCACUAAAGAACAGCGUGUUUUUGGCUGAAAUCUGUGACUGUUUGUUUUUGAGUUAUUUUAAUCUCUGUGUCAAGCAUGAAAACCUCAGCAGCCUGGGAUUUAUAAUUAGAUCCCACUGGCAUGCCCUCUCACCUCUCAAACAUGCCACAGUGCUUUGGCUCUCUCCUUGUGCAAACCUCCCUUUGAUAUUUUUGGAUAUCGAUACCAAGUGUAUCUGCAUAUUUUAACCAACUGAUAUGCAUAUCCUGUGAUCUGAGGCAUUCGCUCAAUGUGGGGCAUCAGGCCAGCUGUGAACUUCCUUUAAAAUUUAUUUUGUGUCAAAUGAUUCCCUAAUGCUAUAGCUCCCUUGAACUGCUAGAUUUAUGAAAAUUCUGCACAACACAUAGCUCAGAGAAAAAAAAAAAAGAGUGUUGCAAGACCAGAUAUAGGAUAUCAUUUGAUUUGUUUAAAACACUCUGUCCAGGGGGUUUUGACUUGCUAAUUUAAAAAUAAUUCUAAAAUUAGGUACAGUUGACCCUUAGUAUCCAUGGGGGAUUGGUUCCAGGAUGCCCUGUGGAUACCAGAAUCCAAGGAUGCUCAAGUUCCUGACAUAAAUGGCUUAGUGUUUGCAUAUAACCUACUCCCCUCUUCCUAUAUACUUUAAAUAAUCUCUAGAUUACUUAUAAUGCCUAACACAACGCCUGUGCAUCACUUCAUUCAUGUGGAUUCAAUGUAGUACUUGGUGUGAAGAAAAUUUAAGUCUUGCUUUUUGGAACUUUGUGGAUUUUUUUUUCUGGAAUGUUUUUGAUCUGCAGUUGGUUGAAUCCACAGGUGCAGAACUAUGGACACAGGGGGCUGACUAUGUAUAUUUAUAUCCACUUGCAAAAUUAAGAAUAAAAAUAAUGUGCAUCAGCAGGUGCAGAUUCUGAUGCUCGGUGGACAGUA
rnacentral:lncRNA from 1 species